rnacentral:rRNA from 1 species
GAUGAACGCUGACAGAAUGCUUAACACAUGCAAGUCUACUUGAAUUUGGGUUUUUUAACUUAGAUUUGGGUGGCGGACGGGUGAGUAACGCGUAAAGAACUUGCCUCACAGUUAGGGACAACAUUUGGAAACGAAUGCUAAUACCUGAUAUUAUGAAUAUAUGGCAUCAUAUAAUUAUGAAAGCUAUAAGCGCUGUGAGAGAGCUUUGCGUCCCAUUAGCUAGUUGGAGAGGUAACGGCUCACCAAGGCGAUGAUGGGUAGCCGGCCUGAGAGGGUGAACGGCCACAAGGGGACUGAGACACGGCCCUUACUCCUACGGGAGGCAGCAGUGGGAAUAUUGGACAAUGGACCAAGAGUCUGAUCCAGCAAUUCUGUGUGCACGAUGACGUUUUUCGGAAUGUAAAGUGCUUUCAGUUGGGAAGAAAAAAAUGACGGUACCAACAGAAGAAGUGACGGCUAAAUACGUG